rnacentral:lncRNA from 1 species
GUGGCGCAGGAGCAGGAGGUGUCGGAGAAGAAGCAGACGAAAGAAGACAGGUGGAAGGGGCUGGGCGAGGACAUCUCGGACGACCAGCAGGACAUCACGAGGGGGAAGGGCAUGGUGGACCCCCUGUUCCAAGCCCCCACCGGGAUGGGGACCCACGACGCCGUCCUCAGCUCCUACGAGUACCUCAGCCAAGGCCUCCGCGAGUACAACCUCGACAACAAGCUCGACGGCUUCUACAUCGCCCCCGCCUUCAUGGACAAGCUCGUCGUCCACCUCUCCAAGAACUUCAUGACCCUCCCCAACAUCA